rnacentral:rRNA from 1 species
UGAUCCUGCCGGAGGUUACUGCUAUCGAGGUUCGACUAAGCCAUGCGAGUCGAAUGUAGCAAUACAUGGCGAACUGCUCAGUAACACGUGGACAACCUGCCCUUAGGUUGGGUAUAAACCCGGGAAACUGGGUAUAAUACCCGAUAGGUCUCGAUUGCUGGAAUGCAUCGAGAUUUAAAGCUCCGGCGCCUAAGGAUGGGUCUGCGGCCUAUCAGGUAGUAGUGGGUGUAGCGUACCUACUAGCCUACGACGGGUACGGGUUGUGAGAGCAAGAGCCCGGAGAUGGAUUCUGAGACACGAAUCCAGGCCCUACGGGGUGCAGCAGGCGCGAAAACUUUACAAUGCUGGCAACAGCGAUAAGGGAACCUCGAGUGCCAGGUUACAAAUCUGGCUGUCGAGAUGCCUAAAAAG